ACGAACGCUGGCGGCGUGCUUAACCCAUGCAAGUCGAACGAUGAAGCCUAGCUUGCUAGGUGGAUUAGUGGCGAACGGGUGAGUAAUACGUGAGUAACCUACCUUUAACUCUGGGAUAAGCCUGGGAAACUGGGUCUAAUACCGGAUACGACCAAUCUCCGCAUGGGGUGUUGGUGGAAAGCGUUAUGUAGUGGUUAUAGAUGGGCUCACGGCCUAUCAGCUUGUUGGUGAGGUAACGGCUCACCAAGGCGACGACGGGUAGCCGGCCUGAGAGGGUGACCGGCCACACUGGGACUGAGACACGGCCCAGACUCCUACGGGAGGCAGCAGUGGGGAAUAUUGCACAAUGGGCGCAAGCCUGAUGCAGCGACGCCGCGUGAGGGAUGACGGCCUUCGGGUUGUAAACCUCUGUUAGCAGGGAAGAAGAGAAAUUGACGGUACCUGCAGAGAAAGCGCCGGCUAACUACGUG
rnacentral:rRNA from 1 species